rnacentral:lncRNA from 1 species
CUUAGAUAAAUUAUAAUCAAACUAUAAUCUUAAUAUAGUCCUUAAUAAAUCUUAAUAAAAUUUUAAAAAUCAUAAAAAAUCCUAACAUAAUCCAAAUUAAAUUCUAAAUCUUAAACUAAAUCCUAAUAAAAUUGUAAUCAAAUCUUAAAUCCUAAAUCAAAUCUCAAUUAAAUCUUAAUCAAACCGUAAUCAAAUUCUCAAUCCUAAAUCAAAUUCUAAUAAAAUCCUAAUCAAAUCUAAACCAAAUUUUAAAUCAAAUCUUAAU